UACGGAGGGUGCAAGCGUUAUCCGGAUUCACUGGGUUUAAAGGGUGCGUAGGCGGGUUGGUAAGUCCGUGGUGAAAUCUCCAAGCUUAACUUGGAAACUGCCGUGGAUACUAUCAAUCUUGAAUAUAGUGGAGGUGAGCGGAAUAUGUCAUGUAGCGGUGAAAUGCUUAGAUAUGACAUAGAACACCCAUUGCGAAGGCAGCUCGCUACACUAUUAUUGACGCUGAGGCACGAAAAGCGUGGGGGAUCAAAACAGG
rnacentral:rRNA from 1 species